rnacentral:rRNA from 1 species
UACAGAGGGGCAAGCGUUAUUCGGAAUUAUUGGGCGUAAAGGGUGCGUAGGCGGGUCUUUAAGUCAGGGUGAAAUCCUGGAGCUCAACUCCAGAACUGCCUUUGAUACUGAAGAUCUUGAGUUCGGGAGAGGCGAGUGGAAUUCCUGGUGUAGCGGUGAAAUGACGCAGAUAUCAGGAGGAACACCUAUUGCGAAGGCAGCUCGCUGGGACGUAACUGACGCUGAGACGCGAAAGCGUGGGGAGCAAACAGG